rnacentral:rRNA from 1 species
UACGAAGGGGGCUAGCGUUGUUCGGAAUUACUGGGCGUAAAGCGCGCGCAGGCGGCUAUCCAAGUCAGUGGUGAAAGCCCGGAGCUCAACUCCGGAACUGCCAUUGAAACUGUUUAGCUUGAGGAUGAGAGAGGUGAGUGGAAUUCCCAGUGUAGAGGUGAAAUUCGUAGAUAUUGGGAAGAACACCCGUGGCGAAGGCGGCUCUCUGGGACGGUACUGACGCUGAGACGCGAAAGCGUGGGGAGCGAACAGG